rnacentral:lncRNA from 1 species
UCAGAUGCACCCACAAGCUUGACAAUAACCUCACAAGUUUCCAUUUUACCUGCAACAAUGGCUCCUUUAUUUAUUACAAUCACCCGGAUGAUGAUUUACCAAGUAUUCUUCCACCUAUCUGUUCACUGAUUCAGCUCCCAGUGCAUAAGACUCGAAAAUCUAAUGACUUGUUCCAUAGUUUUGAAGGGAGCAUAUAUUUGUCUUUAAUUGGAGAAAGAAAUUUUAGGUUUCUAUCAAACAGAUUACGUCUGUUUAAUUUCUCUUUAUGUUUUUCUUUCAUUUUAUUAACAAAAGUCAAAUAAUAAAUUAAGAAAGAACGGGGGAAGAUUUUUCCAAGUCAUGCAUUAUUUGAUCACCAUCAAUCAAGAAACUGACCAAAUUAAUUUCCCUCCAAGAUUUCCAAAAGUUAGAAAAUUUUGUUAUUUUAAAAUAACAUCAUUAAUUAUAGAGUGGAUCAAACCGUGUAAUUAUCUUUCAUAAAAUUAAUGUCUUUUUAAGAGUCAAACUUUUUACUUACGCAAGCCAGUGGACAUCUACUUAACUUUUUUUUAUUUUUGUUAUUAUUAUGCUAUUUAUUUCAAUCCCCAAUAACUUGAUUAGCAACCAUCAAGAAAUGACUUCCGAAAACUAGAAUUUUGUCAUUUGAUAAUAACAUCAUAAAUUGGAGUUGAUCAAACUGCGUUAUUUUCUUUCAUGAAAUUAAAGCCUAUUAGUGUCAUGCUUUUUUUUUAAAAAAAAAAAAACAGGUCAACAUUAACUCUUUUUUUAAAUUGUAUAAAUUAAGAAGAUCAUUGAAUAGCCUAUGUCCUUUACUUUGGGGAGUCUGCGUUCCUACUAGUUGAGUUAGCGUUUGCCUCAACUCGAACUUUAUUAUUUUUUUGCACCAUUAGUCCCAUAAGUUAGAAGUACAACCCCUGAAAGAGUUAUGUUAAACUCACUUGUUUAAAAGUAGGAGUUCGAGAAUUUUAAAUUGUAUCUUAAAGCUAAUUAUAAAAGGGUCCCUAUUCUAACCACUUUGCUUGCACUCAGUUUUAUUAUCCAUCACAAAAAAGUUAUAAGCAGAAUAAAGUAGAAGAAAUCUUACAUCAACUAGAGUGUAUCAAAUAGAGUGUAUAGAUACUUAGACCUUGAACAACUAUUUUUAUAGACACGGCCCUAUCCAUAAUUUAUUAUAUAUUUUUUUCUUUUUAUUAAGAAUGAUUUUUUUCCCUUAAAAAAAAAUGCAGCUGCAAAUUACCUAAUAUUCUUCGUUUUUACGUCUCUGUGAUAUAGGCUGCAUAAAAUACGAAGCGAAUGGGGCCCUUCUCCUGGACGAGUUAAACACUCAUCCAUCAUUUUGAACGAGUCAAUUGUUUCACGUCCUACAGCGACAAAGUGUCUAGUAGAAAGCAGUCUACAAGUCUUUCCAAGUCAACUGGCGUGUUCUACGGAUAUAGCAACCAAACACGCGGACAAGGAAAAAAAGCAGAAAUUGCAAGAUAAUUUGACGUAUUACAAAGAUUAUUCUUAGUAGUCUAUUAGUUGACUAAGAAUAUUAUUGGUAGUUUAUUAGUUGAUUUCUCCAGCCAUAUUGGGAAUUCGGAAUAUUAAUGGCUUGUUACUCGUUUCUUGUGUUCUUUGUUAUCUCCCAACUUUUACUUCUUUCUUCGGCUGAAGAAGAACGUGAACUGAAUAAAACAUGUCCAUUUUCUUUUCCCCCCUGUGGAAAUCUCAGUCAAUUUACCUUUCCUUUCACCAAUCGGACGCACCCUGAAUGUGGGUUGAUGGUAGUAGAUAACUGCAACGAGCCAGUUCAGAGAAUUCGAUUGGGGAAGGCCGGGCCGUUUUAUAAUAUUUUAAACAUCGCUCAGGAUGUUUCAAUUACACUUGAAGACCAGGUGUUUCAAAGUCACUUGAACGAACGUAGCUCUGAAUCCUUCAAAAAUUUAUCUCUCCCCAGCUCUGCUUCUCUCUCUUUUGAGAUCAAAUCCAAGCUAAGCCUCUUCCGAUGCACUGACAAGCUUGACAACAACCUCACAAGUUUCCAUUCUACCUGCAACAAUAGUUCCUUUAUUUAUUACAAUCACCCGGAUGAUGCUUUACCAAGUAUUCUUCCACCUAACUGUUCACUGAUUCAGCUCCCAGUGAAUAAGACUAGAAAACCUGAUGUCUUGUUCAAUAUGUUAACUUCAGUUUUCUCUCUUCAAGUGGAAGUACAGAGGAUUUGUGAUGAAUGUCACCGGAGAGGGGGCCAGUGUCAAAAUGAUAGCAAGGGAAAUUUUCAAUGUGAAAACGAACGGACAGGUAUCAAAAUUACAUUAGGACGUAUAAUAUACACAUAUUCGUUCUUAUUCCUGUAAUAUCCCAAAUUACUAGCAAGCCAGUGUCUGAGCUAAUCUAUAAGUUUUGAAUUCUCCUAGAGCUGGCAAAACGGGUCAUCGGGUCGUGUUCGUGUCGUGUCAGCUUCGUGUCGUGUCAAAUUUAGGUCGACCCAAACCCGACCCAUUUAAUAAUCGUGUCAAAAUAUUGAGACCCAAACCCGACACGGAAAAAUAAUCGGGUUACCCAAUAACCCGUUUAAUAUCUAUAUAUUGAACAAAAGUUACAUCAAAUAUUUACACACUAUCAUGCAUACAUACAUACAUACAUACAUACAGCCAAUAUAUUACACAUGUACACUAUUGAGUUUUAAUUUUAUAUAUAUAUAUAAUAUUAUAUAUCAAUAUUAUAAAAUAUACAUGUCUAUCAAUUUUUACACAUUUACACUAUUGAAGCUCUAAAUGUAUGUAAAAUUUUAUAAAUAAAACAUUGUGUUUAUAUUCACCCUUUUAAAGAAUAAAAAAAAGAAAAUUAUCUCUAAUAUUUGAGUUUUAAUUAUAAGAAUAUGUAAAUUAUUUUAAAAUAGAAAAUAUAAUCGGGUCAUUGAUCGGGUAAAUGGGUCAAGAAUUUUAACCCAAACCCGACACAGAAAAAAAUCAUAUUGACCCGGACCCGACCCAUUUAAUAAUCGUGUUAAAUUUGACGACUCAUACCCAUUUAUUUAUGUCGUGUUCGUGUCGGAUAAUCGGGUCGUGUCAAAUUUUGCCAGCUCUAAAUUCCCCUAUCCAAAUACUUCUUUUUGUAUCACAAAAUCCAAGAACAAAACACUUUUUUUUUUACUCACCGAGUCAGUAGCUAAUUUUUUUUUUCUCGUUUUUGUACAUUUAUAUAAGCUACGUCUAAUCUAAUAACAUGCAAGAAAACGAGUUCCUAUUUUUCAGUCUCUUUUUAUUUAUUUGGUGGAUUUUGGCUGUCCCUUUACCUGCAUUUGGAGAAAGCAGCAGACUUGUUGGAGCAAGUUCUGUAUCUGGUUGAGAUAGGCUAUUCUGUCAGUUGCCUCUCCAAUUUGGUCAAAAUUUGGAUGAUUUGAGAACAUCAUUACAUUUUUUAACAGUCUCAACUAACACCAGUCUUUGUUUAAUUCUGUUGCAGGAAACAGAAAACUUAGAUUGAAGCUUCUGCCAGGACUAGGUAAUGUAUCUUUUUAAUCAAAUUCAUUAUUGGUGUAUUGCUACUUGACUAAGGCAAGUGUCCGGCUUAGGUCCGUCCUUUAUUACAUUUUUGCUAUUGUUCUACAUUCAAAUAAAUUCGGAUACCUUAUAAUCGCUUCAAAUUUCUUCUCUGCCACUCGUGUUUUUUUGCAACCCUCAAUAGAAUCAAGGAGCAUCUGCUAGCACAAUUUUUGGACCAUCCAAAAUUUGCUGAACUAUUUUUUGGCUUCUACUCAUAGUUUUGAAGGAAGCAUCCAUCUGUCUUUAAUUAGAGAAAGAAAUUUUAGGUUGACAGCGACUCCUUUCUCUGGUUGCAGGAGCAUCAGCCUUUGCAAUUGGCAUAUUGAUAUUUAUAGCCUUUUACUUCAAGAGAAAACUUUCAUCAUACAAUUCCACUGCAAGUUGUCUGAACAUUGAGACAUUUUUAAGGAAUUAUCGAUCUCUAUCUCCUAAAAGAUAUGGCUAUGCAGAUAUUAAGAAAAUGACCAAUUCUUUCAAAUAUAAACUCGGCCAAGGAGGCUAUGGAAGUGUUUACAAAGGAAAACUACUUGACGGUAGUAAUGUGGCGGUAAAAGUCUUAAAUGAUUCAAAAGGAAAUGGUAAAGAAUUCAUCAACGAGGUUGCUAGCAUUAGCAGGACUUCCCAUGUUAACGUUGUCGCUCUUUUAGGAUUCUGUUUGAGGGUCGCAGAAGAGCUCUCAUCUACGAGUUUGUGUCCAAUGGAUCUCUGGAGAAGUUCAUUUAUAGAAACAGCUCAUCGAUAGAAAAUCAUAAAUUGACCUGGGAAACGUUGCUCCAAAUUGCAGUAGGCAUAGCUCGAGGAUUAGAGUACUUGCACCUUGGCUGCAGUACACGAAUUCUGCAUUUUGACAUCAAGCCUCAUAACAUUCUUCUAGAUGAAGACUUCUGUCCCAAGAUCUCUGAUUUCGGCCUAGCUAAAAUCUGCAACAGGAAAGAGAGUAUCAUCUCAAUGACAGGUGCACGGGGAACUGUUGGGUAUAUUGCUCCAGAAGUAUUCUGUAGAAAUAUUGGGGAAGUCUCUUACAAGUCGGAUGUUUAUAACUACGGAAUGAUGAUUUUCGAAAUGACUGGAGGAAGAAAGAACGUUGAUGUUGUGGAUAAUGGAAGCACCGCAUUGGAUUUACAAGCGUCUAGAAAAGGAUGAAGAACUUGGACUGCAAGGCAUUGAAAAUGAAGAAGAUAUAGAAUAUGCAAGGAAGAUGAUAAUUGUAUGCUUGUGGUGUACACAGACUAACCCCUCAAGCCAGCCAACAAUGAAUAGAGUAGUGGAAAUGUUGGAAGCAAGCCACCAUUCCUUGCAAAUCCCACCCAAACCUUUCUUAUCUUCGCCGGGCUCACCAGCAGACUCUUCAACUAACAAAGUAUAGCAGACUCUUCAACUAUACAAAGUAUACUAAUAACAUUGUAAAAAUACCAUUAGGUAUCAGAAUGCACUGUUUUCCUCCCCCUUUCUACUUUGUAAAUUGGUGCAAUUUUCGAUAAAUAUGGAAUUAGAGACGUCCAUUUCAAUAAAUAUCAGGCAACAAAGAAUGACGCAGUUUUCACUAGAGUUCCACUGCUUUGGCACAUAGUAAUCUUUAUUUGUAAUCUUCGUGGUUUAGUUAGCACUAACGCAAAAUACAAGACCGCCAAAAGUUUUGGAAUUCCAAAGGAACACUCAAUAAUCAAUCAGCUCUCCCUGAGGCGCUAAAACUCAUUUUACAUUAUUUGCAUAUAUUACAUAUACAAUUGAUGUAGCACUAUGGUAAGAUUCAAACAAUUCACUAGCCUAAUGGAAAGUGGGCACAAAAAAAUAGAAUGAAGUGGGAAAGAAUAAGGAGGUUACAAUAACGGAGUUAUGCUACUUUAACUCCACUAGGGCGUUUUCCUUCCAUGGCAUCCUUCUUAUUUCGGCAAUCAGCGCAGAAGAAAGGCCCUUGCCUGGGCUUUGAGCUAGUGGAGAAGAUGGAACCAGCAUGAACAGAGAUUCCCUCACUCGGAGCAAGGUCGAUUUGGCAUACAGCACAUGUAAAAAGACCAGAUGUUGACUGCAACACAGGUUCUUCAUUACCCAGUCUGCAAAAUGCAUUAAAAAUUAUGACAAAGUGAACAUUUAAGCGAUUGAGAACUAGAUUUAGAAAAUCAGAGCAAUACUUUUGAGCCUUUCCAAUGACAAAGUGAACAUUUACACAUGCAAAGGAGACAGCAUUAACCUUUCGGCAAGCAUUGCCGAGCCUUCUUCGAACAGUUCUUCAACUAUUCCUACAGCUGAAAGCUUCUUUGUUAGUUUAUUUGCUGAAUCAAGGGACUUCUUCCUAAAUAGCAGCGCUCUCAGCUUAUUCUGCUUUUUGGGAGGAGGCUGAGGCUGCAUCGUAUUGUCAGGAGGAAUUAUGUCAACAACUAUGCAAGUUGUAUCAUCCUUCAGUCCCCUUGUCCUUAAUGCUUCCUAAAUAGUGAUCCAUCAAAUACAGUGAGAAAACAUUCUAAGCAAUCAUCUGAAAAGCUAUGUUAGCACGUUCUUCUAAAAAGAACUGGCAACAAAUACGUAGUAAAACAACAAAUUAAAUUACCUUCACCACUUGUCUGGCAGCGAGUUCAGCCGGCAAUCCACGGCAACAUUGUGCAGCCAUUUCUGAGGAUAAGGCAUCCCAGAUUCCAUCAGAAGCAAUAAUAAGCCUUCCACCUGCAUUUGAUAGCUUUUAAAACAAUGAAGAAAGUAAGAGUUCAUGCUGAAGAUAGAACAAGCAAUUCCAUCUCAAAAUCACGGGUAACACAGUCGAAAGAUGGAAAAGAAUCACAAGUGAAAAACAUGAUGUAGAAACCCCCCCAAAAAAAGGGGGGAGGGCGGAUACCUUUACCUGUUUGACGUAUGGUAAUUCCCCAACAUCCAUGUCUCCAAUUGACCUAGAAAUGCAUAAACCACCAGGCCAGCAACGGAGGGGACCAAUCUGUCAAGGUUAUGCAAAUUUUGUUACAAACUGCAGGAUAGAUUUUUUCUAUUUUGUAGAAAUUCUGCCCUUUACUUUAAGACCAAUGAAUAACACUUGAGACCAAUAUGUUAAAACACCUUACCUCAGCACCUCCAACAAUGCUAAGCCUCCCAACUUCACCCCCACUUGCAGUAACGCGUUCCCUCCUGCAGUUGCAGCAUAACUAAUUAAAGAGUCUAUCCAGAAUAAGGGAAGAAAUAAAGCUUUGAUACAGAAACACACUCUUCCACAUUCUCUUCAAGCCUGUGAUCUACAGUCAAGGUGGAAACAGCCCCACCCUGAGCAUCCAAUAUACAACGAGAAUCUCCAACAGAUGCAACAGUCACAGUCCAUCUGUCAACUAUAACAAAUGUAGCUGUGGUCCCAGAUGUUUCUCCUGAAGAUGAUUGAACAAGUAUAGCAAAAUUACUUUUGCUUGAUUUACAACAUAAAGUCAAAGAUGGGAAAUAAAAAAGAAGUGCAAGAAUGAAAAUAAGAACAAGGGACAGUUCCAUGCCUCUACUCUGAAAUUCCUUGUCAGUCUUCACAAAUCCAGCAACUAAGGCUCGAGGUAGAGCCUGAAGCCAUUCCAAAGAUUAUUCAGAAUUACAAAGAUUAUUCUGAGUAGUUUAUGUUACGUAAAUAAGAGCACCAGCUCGGCCAUGCCAUCAUCCCCACCCCGGGGUGGAUCACCUCAGCCGAAUAGUACGAGCAGAACACUGAUAGUGAGCCUUCUAUAAACAUGGGCCGACCCGAGACGAGUACCAGCCAGAGGAAUAUACCGACCAGAGACAUAUACCGAGCCGAUACCUGUCCCCCAAAGAGCGGGAACACGAUCUCACAGAAUCACGAUAGUUGCGUUUUUCCCAGAACCGUUGAAGGAGAUGCGAUAUCCCACGUUUGCCCACAAUGUAGCAGUUAGAGUCCCAUGAGGGGUUGCCACUACCCGGAAAAGGGGGGAUGAAAGGUGAACGGAAACGUGGGACAGCGGCUAUAAAGAGGAAGAAAUCGAUAAAAAAAUGGAUGAAAAAACUGAGAGAGAAGGGAAAACUCUGCCAAAUUGAAACUAGACUGUUUUUCUGCCUAAAUUGAGAGUGAAUCAUAAGCCAUUCCGAAAUCUAAAUUGAACCGUUUUCCCGUAAACACCUUGUGCUAACUUAGGCAUCAGGGGGUUUACGCCGGUAAAACCACCGGCGUCUCUGAUCCAUUUCUUUGUGAACGCAGAAUUAGCAAGAUAAAAAGGGGUGAUUUCAAUCUAGUGACAUAAGCAAUCGUUAAGACGAGAAGGUAGCGAUAUCGUUCCAUCAAACAUAUAAACGUUGGUGAAAAAUCUGAUCGGAUAAAGGGCGAGCAAAUUUCAGCAUCAACAGUUUAUUAGUUGAUUAAGAAUAUUCUUAGUAGUUUAUUAGUUGAUUUCUCCAGCCAUAUUGGGAAUUCGGAAUAUUAAUGGCUUCUUACUCGUUUGUUGUGUUCUUUGUUAUUCUAAGAACAAAACACUAUCUGCUCCGAGUUAGUAAUUUUUUUUUUCUUUUUGUACAUUUACAUAAGCUAUGUCUAAUCUAAUAACAUGCAACAAAACGAGUUCCUAUUUUUCAGUCUCUUUUUAUUUAUUUGUUGGAUUUCGGCCGUCCCUUUACCUGUAUUUGGAGAAAGCAGCAGAUUUGUUGCAGCAAGUUCUGUAUCUGGUUGAGAUUGGCUAUUCUGUCAGUUGCCUGUCCAAUUUUGUCAAAAUUUGGAUGAUUUGAGAACAUCGUGACAUUUUUUCGUAGUCUCAACUAACACCAGUCUUUGUUUAAUUCUGUUGCAGGAAACAGAAAACUCAGAAAACAGUAAUGUAUCUUUUUAAUCAAAUACAUUAAUGGUGUAUUGCUACUUGACUAAGGCAAGUGUCCGGCUUAGGUCCGUCGUUUAUUAUAUUUUUGCUAUUGUUCUACAUUCAAAUAAAUUCCGAUACCUUAUAAUCGCUUCAAAUUUCUUCUCUGCCACUUGUGUUUUCCUGCAACUCUCAAUAGAAUCAAGGGACAUCUGCUAGCACAAUUUUUGGACCAUCCAAAAUUUUCUGAACUAUUUUUUGGCUUCUACUCAUGGUUUUGAGGGAAGCAUCCAUCUGUCUUUAAGUAGAGAAAGAAAUUUUAAGUUGACAGUGACUCCUUUCUCUGGUUGCAGGAGCAUCAGCCAUUGCAAUUGGCAUAUUGAUAUUUAUAGCCUUUUACUUCAGGAGAAAACUUUCAUCAUACAAUUCCACUGAAAGUUGUCUGAACAUUGAGACAUUUUUAUGGAAUUAUGAAUCUCAGGCUCCUAAAAGAUAUUGUUAUGUAGAUAUUAAGAAAAUGACCAAUUAUUUCAAACAUCAACUUGGCCAAGGAGGCUAUGGAGGUGUUUACAAAGGAAAACUACUUUGACGGUCGUAAUGUGGCAGUAAAGCUCUUAAAUAAUUCAAAAGGCAAUGGUGAAGAAUUCAUCAACGAGGUUGCUAGAAUUAGCAGGACUUCCCAUGUUAACAUUGUCACUCUUUUAGGAUUCUGUUUCGAGGGUCGCAGAAGAGCUCUGAUCUACGAGUUUGUGUCCAAAUGGAUCCUCUUGAGAAGUUCAUUUAUAGAAACAGCUUAUCCACGGAAAAUCAUGAAUUGGCACGAGAAACAUUGCUACAAAUUGUAGUAGGCGUAGCUCGAGGAUUAGAGCACUUGCACCUUGGCUGCAGUACAUGAAUUCUGCAUUUUGACAUCAAGCCUCAUAACAUUCUCCUAGAUGAAGACUUCUGUCCCAAGAUCUCUGAUUUCGGCCCGUGAGGAAAUAAGUUGCUGGUUCGUUGGGUUUAAAUGCAAGUUUGGAAGAAUUCUUGGAGCAGUGUGCAGAUCGACUUCAGUUGGAGGGGUCUAGUUGAAAAACUUAUGCUGAUGUGGCAGAAUUCGUUGAGAGUUCGUUAUGACUUUUUCCAGAAAUAUCAGAAUAAAAGGCACUUGUGACUAGCCUCUGAUAUCAUAUCGAUAUCUUCUUCAUUUCUUGUUCAUUUUGCUUGCAAUUUGGUUCAUUGUGAUCCUUGUAAUUUCUUCUUUGUGAUUAGGUUGUAAUUCGAUUGUUGAGAUCAAUGAAAGAGCAGUUUUUUCCUUCAUCAAUUUGUGUACUUGAAACUGUGCUCUGAAUCUGUUUCUUGUGAUUUUUUUCUUGAUUGGUUUACUCUGAUCAGUUCUUUCAAGUCCAAUUAUCAAAGUGCUUCUUGAAAUUUCUUGUGUAGCUGUUAUGAGUUAUAACACGGCCUAUAUAAAAUCUGCAACAGGAAAGAAAGUAUCAUCUCAAUGACAGGGGCACGGGGGAAUGUUGGGUAUAUUGCUCCAGAAGUGUCUGUAGAAAUAUUGGAGAAGUCUCUUACAAGUCACAUGUUUAUAGCUACGGAAUGAUGAUUUUCGAAAUGACUGGAGCAAGAAAGAACGUAGAUGCUCGGGAUAAUGGAAGCAGUGACGUAUAUUUUCUGCAUUGGAUUUACAAACGUCUUGAAAAGGAUGAAGCGCUUGGAUUGCACGGCAGUGAAAAUGAAGAAGGUAUAGAAUGUGCAAGGAAGAUGAUAAUUGUAAGCUUGUGGUGCAUACAGACUAACCCCUCAAGCAGGCCAACAAUGAGUAGAUUGGUGGAAAUGUUGAAAGGAACCCUUGGUUCCUUGCAAAUUCCUCCCAAGCCUUUCUUGUCUUCUCCAGGAUCACCAGCAGAUUCUUCAACCAUCCACGGUAUACUAACUUUGUAAUCCCAUUAGCUAUGAAAAGGCACAUUUUCCUGCUUAGGAAUUAAUACGUCCAUUUCGAUAAAUAUCAGCGUAUAACACUGAUACAAUUUUCAAUUUUUCACUCAUUGAAGGCGUGAGUUGCACUUCUUUGGGACAGUAAACUUUCGUUAGUAAUCUUGGUGGUAUAGUUAGCACUAUAGCUAAAAAAUGCCUAAUAAAACCUUGAUUUAUUUGUGGAAAGUGACGUGAGAAAGAUAAGGCGAGAUAUGGAGAGUGCAAAAGUCAUAUUAAAAUUAAUCAAAAGCCAAGUCAUCUUCUAUAAUUAAAUCUCAGCUAUUUAUACAACUAAGAGAUGAGAGCCCAUAUGACAUGUCUUACAAGAUUUAGGUCUAUGUAAAUUUCAAGCAUAGCAACAUCAAGUAAAGAGCUUUAUCAAAUGUUAAGAUUUCUCCAAAAACGUGAACAACGUUUGAAGGCCCCUUUUUAUUAGCAUUUUCGUUAUUAUUACUAUUCUUACUUCAAGAGGAGAAUUACAGCGUCAAGCUUUCUUAGUCCUAGUUGUGGAAAGGGAGUUUGGAAAUUUUUCAUUUAAUCACGGGUCAACCAUUUACGUCCUUCAAAUUCAUUUUUCCAAGUCAACUGACUUGUUCAAGACGAUAAACAACUGAAAGAAAUAGCAAAGAUGACUGGGAUAAAAGAUGCAAUGCGGACAGAGAUUAUUCUUAGUUGAUCUCUCUUGCCAUUCAGGGAUUCUUCUAAUGGCUCACGUCUCUUAUCUUAUGUUCUUCAUUCUCUCGUAUCUUUUGCUUCUUUCCUUAGCUCAAGAACAAAUGAGAUUCAAUCUAAGUUGUCCAUCUUUUUCUUGUGAAAAAUUCCGCAAUAUCAACUUCCCCUACUCUAUACGAACACACCCUGAGUGUGGAUUCUGCUUAGUGGAUGACUGCGACAAGCCAGUUCAAAAGAUUCAACUGGGAAAGAAUGAGCCAUGGUUAUCUGUCACUAGCAUCUCUGCGGAUCAAACUGUUACACUUUAUGAUCAAGUGUUUUAAAGGCACUUGGACAACCGCAGCUGUGAAUCCUUCAAAAAUAUUUCUCUUCCCAGCUCUCCUUCCAUCUCUUUUAAAAUCCUAUCAAAUUUAACCCUGUUCAAAUGCCCCACAAUUCUUGGCAACAUUCCCAUGAAUUUCAAUAUGUCCUGUGAUGACUCCACGAUCUUUUACAAUCACCCAGAUGACGAUGAUCUACCAAGUCUUCCACCUCAGUGUUCACUUAUUCAGCUCCCAGUGGCAGCGAGUAAGACUCGCUACGCGUCUGACUUGUUUCGUCUGUUAACUGGCAAUUUCUCUCUAAAAGUACUCCCUAACUGGCGUGCAAGACGACAAUGUAUUGACUGUCCUUCGAGAGGAGGAGGCCAAUGCCUAAUUAACAGCAAGGGGUAUCUUCACUGUUCAAAUGGAAUAGUAGCUACAGCAAGUUACGGUAAGGUUCUCACAACUUCUCAAGUUUUACUUAUCAUUUCUUUACGAUCUAUACAAAAUUCAUUCAUAGAAACAGUCAUGUCAUAACCAUUAAGCUUGUUUAACACCUAACUACAUCAAAGUUUAGUUCAUGAUAGGUGAUAAAAUGGUAGCAACACACGUUUUUGCCGUCAAAUAUAUUCCCAUAAAGAGAUGAAAACAUGCAAAUAAAGAUGAGGAAUUGAGAUUCACUAAAUUCAAGAUGUCCCGCUCCUAGGUUUUGCGAUGUCUCCUACUUUUUCUUUGAAAUCCCUUGUUGGAACCCCCAACUCUCUCUUAUUCUCUUAUUUUUCUUUUUCUCUUCGUUGCUUCUAUGUGUCGGCCCCCUCCCUCUUGUUUCUUUCACGUGUGCUUUUUUUAUAUCUUAGAAUUAGGGCAAUCAAAAGCAUGUGGCCACGUGUCUCUUUUUUUGAAAACUUGGAUCGCAUAUCUUUUUGUGCCGCCUGUCACUGCUUUGUCAAUUAAUAUGCGGGUAGUCUUGCCAGUAUUUGCUCUUGGAUUGCUGCAACAAUUGCUACAACAUCUUCUCUUAUUCAAAUUUGUUUUAGUUCAUCUGCAGAUAAGUUUUUUGUCAUUUCUGCAAGUCUACUACUGCAACAAUCCAUCCAUAAAGUUUGAGUUUUUUGGUCACCUACAAUCAUGCACAUAAUCAUAACACAAAAUGAUAUAAAAUAUAAUCAAUUUAGUAAAAUUAAACUUAUAUAGAUGCUCAUGCAAAAUGUAACUAAAGAUGUAAUAAAAACAUAUAAUUUACUCUCUAAGUAAUGCUAGUUUAAGUUUAGAAAUGUCAUGAUAAUUCUCAUUUCAUGAAGUUAUCAAUACAUAAUCAAUAGACAUCAAAUAUUUUUGUGACUUGAACUCUUUGUGCUCUCACUCGUGCUGCUUCGGGAUGAUUUGCUAUGUCAAACGAGGGUUCUAUUUGUAGCCAAAAAGUGGUUUGAUGACAUGUCAAAGAAAAUGGACCAAAUCCUUCAUUUGCAGCCUCCAUAUCUACUUGAGAAUUUAGACCAUGCAAACAUAUUAAAACAAUGAUUUUGGUGUUGCAUUUUGGUAGUGUCGUUAAGGUGCACAAAAUUUAAAACCUUACCACUAAUAUAAAUAAUUAGUACAUAACGAGUAAGGAUCGUUAAAAUAAAAUAAUAGUUAGUUAUAUUUAUUAUUAACUCCAAAGCAAGAUUUAAAAUAAAAUAAUAGUAAUAGUAAUAAUAAUAUAAAUUAGUCUAACUAAAGAAAAUACCAAUUAAAAAUAAAAGAGGGGUUUAUGAAUUUUUAACUAAAUAGUAAGAAAUAGAGAAAUUAAAAUUACGAACAAGAAUUUAACAAUUUAUAUUGUUAAAGGAGAAAGAAAUAAUAAUGAUGAAAACUUUGGUUAAAGGAUCAUUCGCCACCACCAAACAUGCACAUAAUAUAUCAAUUCUAUUAUCAAUUUAUAUUGAACUGCUGUACCGUACAUCCGCCUUGGCCGUACAGCAGUUAUAUGUUAAAAUUUAACAACUUUUAAUUUUUCUUAUUUUGUAUAAACAAUAGGGGCAUGGAUCAAGAAUUUUAAUCUAGCUGAUUCCAACCUGCUACUAAUGAUUAAAAUAUCAAGACAAUUACAGAUCAAGAAUUUUAAUCUAACAAUAAAAUUUAUUCAAGUCCUAUCUAAUUGGCCACUCAAACAAAACAAGAAUAAACCAUGAACAUUAAUUAUAGAAGAACAUAAACAAUCUCAAUUAAAUAAAUUGAAUGAUAGAAUUUAAAUUUAAAUUUAAUUGCAUAUUAGGGUUUUGAAUUCACCCUCAACCAAAUAAAAAUUUAGCCUAACAUAAUUGAAUUGGGAAUAAGGAAAUUGAUAAAAUCAGUCAUGAAAAUUAAUUCAAGCGGCUGCCUUUUUCUUCAAUUGAAUUCCGGCUGCUGAUUUUUUUCUUCUUCUUGCCGAAUUGGAUCAGUUUUGCUCCAAACCUGCAGCUGCUGCUCUACUCUUCUCCCGAUUCUCCUUUUUUUUCUCUCUGGCAGCUCUCCUUUUAUAAUGCUCUAAAUCCUCUCACGAAAAGGAUUAAAAACAAAAGUAAAGCCGCCACUUUUCUUUUCCGUCCAGCGUCUGUUGGCUUCUUUGGCGGCUACCCCCUUUCUAAAACCAAAGUUUGGCUUUUAUAUUUAGUCUUCAAAUGGGCUCCACCGACUUUUCCAACUCUUAAGCCAAAGGCCAAGCCUUUUAAUUUGCUUUGGCUUCCCUCACGUGCACUCUUUAAUUUGGCUAAUAUUUCUCAUGUCCUUCACCACGGCAGCGAGCAUCAUUCCCAAAAUGCACCUAAAAUAACAAAAUAUAAAAAUUAACAUAAAAUUAACAUAAUAAAAUAUAAUUUACUAAAUUAAAAAUUGACUAAAAUAACUAGAAUAUUUAAGACCAAAAUAAGAAAAAGAUAGAGAAAUUAAUAGUAAAAUAUAUGAAAAAUAUGCACUUAUCACAUUUAUUGGGUAUGAAAACAUAUCUCCGAAAGUUACCUACAUCAGUUGAAUUUCUAGCAUAAAAUGGCUAUUCUUCUAAUUAACCAUUAAUGCAUGUAAUAUCCACUUUAUUAUUCAUUCAUGCACUACUUUUUCAACAAAAAGGCCAAGAAUUGAAUUAACUUGGGAUUCAAGAUAGGUAGCAUCCUGAAAACUUCUGUUCCACACUAAAUUAGUAAACAUGCAAUAAUAACUUUGAAAGCAUUCCAGAUUUAUCGUUUGUGGUAGAUAAAUAGAUCUCUCUGUUGUAACCACGAAAAAAGUGGGGGGGGAACAACAAUAGAUAUAUAAUUGCUUUGAAAAAUUAACAAAUAAUUUCUUUGUUUUUCAUAAUCUAAGGUAGUGAGUAUUAUAAGAAUUGACAAUAUAUGGUACACGUGACAUUGACUAAUUAAUUAACUAAAGUAAAUCAAUUUAUAAUUAUUAUCCAAUUAAGAGAUGAUAUUAUUUAAUUAAGCCAUAAAUUAAAGUAUAUAACUUAUUCAUGUCUUUGACAAAAGGAAGUGAAAGAGUUAUGUUAAUCUCACUUGUUUAAUAGUAGGAGUUCAAGAGUCUUAAAUUGUAUCUUAAGGCUAAUUAUAAAAAGGGUCCCUACUCUAACCAAUUCGCUCGCACUCAAUUUUGUUAUCCCUCACAAAGAAGCUAUAAGUAGAAUUGGGUAAAAGAAACCUUACGUCAACUGUAGUGUAUGGAGAAUACUUAGAUCUUGAACAAUUAUAUUUAGAGAUACGGCCCUAUCCACAAUUUAUUAUAUAAGAGCAUGAAACUUUCCCUUCGUAUUUUAUGCAGCCUAUAUCACAGAGACGUAAAAACGGAGAACAUUAGGUAAUUCACAGCUGCAUUUAUUUUUAAGGAAAAAAAAAAAAAACAUUCUUACUUCAAGGGGCCCUUCUCCUGGACGAGUUAAACACUUAUCCAUCAUUUUGAAUAAGAAUUUCACGUCCUACAGCUGCAAAGUGUGCAGUAGAAUGCAGUCAUGCGCAGCUCGAACUUCUUUCAGUAUCACUACAUCUACAAGUCUUUCCAAGUCAACUGGGGUGUUCUAUGGAUUUAGCAACAAAACAUGUGGACAAGGAAAAAUAGCAGAAAUUGCAAGAUAAUUUGAAGAAUUACAAAGAUUAUUCUUAGUAGUUUAUUAGUUGAUUAAGAAUAUUCUUAGCAGUUUAUUAGUUGAUUUCUCCAGCCAUAUUGGGAAUUCGGAAUAUUAAUGGCUUGUUACUCGUUUCUUGUGUUCUUUGUUAUCUCUCAACUUUUACUUCUUUCUUCGGCUGAAGAAGAAAGUGAACUGAAUAAAACAUGUCCAUCUUUUUUUCCCUCAUGUGGAAAUCUCGGUCAAUUUUUCUUUCCUUUCACCAAUAGGACGCAUCCUGAAUGUGGGUUGAUGUUAGUAGAUAACUGCAACAAACCAGUUCAGAGAAUUCGAUUGGGGAAGGCCGGGCCGUUUUAUAAUAUUUUAAACAUAGCCCAGGAUGCUUCAAUCACUCUUGAAGACCAAGUGUUUCAAAAUCACUUGGGCAACUCUAGCUGUGAAUCCUUCGAAAAUUUGACUCUCCCCACCUCUGCUUCUCUCUCUUUUCAUAUCAAAUCAAAUCCGAGCCUCUUCAGAUGCACCCACAAGCUUGAGAAAAACCUCCCGAGUUUCCAUUUUACCUGCAACCAUAACUCCUUUAUUUAUUACAAUCACCCGGAUGAUGCUUUACCACGUAUUGUUCCACCUAACUGUUCACUGAUUCAGCUCCCAGUGAAUAAGACUAGAAAAUCUGAUGACUUGUUCAAUAUGUUAACUUCAGUUUUCUCUCUUCAAGUGGAAAUACCCUGGUUUUGUUGGGAAUGUGGCUGGAGAGGGGGCCAGUGUCGAAGUGAU